ACGAACGCUGGCGGCGUGCUUCACACAUGCAAGUCGAACGGAAAGGCCCUGCUUUUGUGGGGUGCUCGAGUGGCGAACGGGUGAGUAACACGUGAGUAACCUGCCCUUGACUUUGGGAUAACUUCAGGAAACUGGGGCUAAUACCGGAUAGGAGCUCCUGCUGCAUGGUGGGGGUUGGAAAGUUUCGGCGGUUGGGGAUGGACUCGCGGCUUAUCAGCUUGUUGGUGGGGUAGUGGCUUACCAAGGCUUUGACGGGUAGCCGGCCUGAGAGGGUGACCGGCCACAUUGGGACUGAGAUACGGCCCAGACUCCUACGGGAGGCAACAGUGGGGAAUAUUGCACAAUGGGCGGAAGCCUGAUGCAGCAACGCCGCGUGCGGGAUGACGGCCUUCGGGUUGUAAACCGCUUUCGCCUGUGACGAAGCGUGAGUGACGGUAAUGGGUAAAGAAGCACCGGCUAACUACGUG
rnacentral:rRNA from 1 species